rnacentral:hammerhead_ribozyme from 1 species
AUCCAGCUGAUGAGUCCCAACUAGGACGAAACGCGCGUCAAACUAGAU